UACGUAGGGUGCAAGCGUUGUCCGGAAUUAUUGGGCGUAAAGAGCUCGUAGGCGGUUUGUCGCGUCUGCUGUGAAAACCCGGGGCUCAACCCCGGGCCUGCAGUCGAUACGGGCAGACUAGAGUGUGGUAGGGGAGACUGGAAUUCCUGGUGUAGCGGUGAAAUGCGCAGAUAUCAGGAGGAACACCGGUGGCGAAGGCGGGUCUCUGGGCCGUAACUGACGCUGAGGAGCGAAAGCGUGGGGAGCGAACAGG
rnacentral:rRNA from 1 species